UGCGCGACGAUGUCAGUCAAACCAAGCGAAAGUAAUACGUAUACUAAACAGACUUUUCGAAUGAAUGAGACAGAUCCUCUAGAGAAGUCUGACAGUUGUCGCCAAUAAGGUUCAAUGAAACCUUACACUGUGGUUAAGGGAGUUCCGGCGACGAUCGUCUGUGGUUGAUCUUUCCGAAGCAAAAUGAUGUUUUCAACACGUGCAUUAACGGACGUCCGAAAAACUCCUGUUCCUCCUGAAGGAAUAAAAAAAUGUGCUCCAAUUUUGAGUUGAUGAUAACCUUAAAGCGUAGGAAAAAACAAAGGAGCGAAGAAGUGAACUCCAGUUGUGAGUCGAAGUCUUUUCCGAAUAAUGUAAUUACUUAGCCAAAAAUUGGUAUUUUGAAUUGAACAAGAUUGAUUGACGUAUUAACGAAAUUUAAUUGCGUGUAAAGACAACCUAAUGAAUAGCAGAGGAGGCACGUGCGGCUAAAAAGCGACAAUAUUUGAAACAUCUCAAAAACGCCAUCCAUUCCGCAGGUACUUAUAGACCUAGCAGACUAUGUUAACGUAUAUUUACAAGUGUCUGUGCUUAGUCAAUGAAUGCCAUACAUAGUAUUUAUUCUACAUACAUCGUUCAGAUCAAAUUGACAAAUUCCAAACUUUUUUUUGGUACUGGAUGCUAGUGGAGUUUUGGCCCACACAAGCUGAUGAAAAAGUUUUGAUUGACAGAACACGGAAAUUAAAUUUCCUUGUUUUACAAAAACAGCAUUUCUAGAACAAAAAACUAAAUGUUUUUAUGAGUGAAAUAAAACCAGGCGAAUGCUUACACAGCUAAGAUUCAGCCAAUCAGGGCCGUUGCUACAUUUCCAUAACGGUGCCAGACCCCUGCCGUCGUUGCUACCAGUUUGGCACACUAUUCAAAUGCUCGCUAGGCCAUCGCCCAGAAAAUUCUAAAAUCGUGCUUGUCCAAAUAAGAUGACCUAAGAAUCUUCUAAUUUGGAUGUAUCGAAUAGACAGAUAAUGCAAUAAUAUGCAUGGCCGGAUAUCGACCACGACUUUGAUUAUUGUUAAUACUUUAGCCUGCGUAGCGGCUCUCUAGGGGAUUGGGGAAGGGGGAGGAGAGAGCUCCCUCUCUCUCUCUCUCUCUUUCCCCCUCCCCUUUACCCUUCCCCAGGCYCAUUUAAAGCGUCGCUACGCAGGCUAAUGAUGCUUCAGCUUAUUUCUCCGACAUCCAUUAGUUACCGUUUCUAUGUCCCAAAAGCUCAUGAAAUGACAGACAAUAUCUCACAUAACAUCGAUUGACAUAAAGACUUCACCAUUUUCAAGGAAUUCGUCAGUGUCCAAUUCAACUGGUCAGUUUYGCGUAGAAAGAAUAUGUUAUCGACACAAUGCAGGUUCUUUUCUUGAUGUUCGUCGUGCCAGUGAUCACGAUUCCGCAUAAUAUAGACGUCAUUUUGACGUUAAUUCAUAYGUUGUAUAUACUAACGUACCAACAUCAAUAACCAAUGGGUUUUUGAAACCAAGGCUAGGGGUCACUUUUAAUAAAUCCUAUUUGAAUGUAA